rnacentral:rRNA from 1 species
UACGAAGGGUGCAAGCGUUAAUCGGAAUUACUGGGCGUAAAGCGUGCGCAGGCGGUUUUGUAAGUCUGACGUGAAAUCCCCGGGCUCAACCUGGGAAUUGCGUUGGAGACUGCAAGGCUGGAGUCUGGCAGAGGGGGGUAGAAUUCCACGUGUAGCAGUGAAAUGCGUAGAGAUGUGGAGGAACACCGAUGGCGAAGGCAGCCCCCUGGGUCAAGACUGACGCUCAUGCACGAAAGCGUGGGGAGCAAACAGG